rnacentral:rRNA from 1 species
GGGAUAACACCUGGAAACAGAUGUUAAUACCGGAUAACAACACUAGACGCAUGUCUAGAGUUUGAAAGAUGGUUCUGCUAUCACUCUUGGAUGGACCUGCGGUGCAUUAGCUAGUUGGUAAGGUAACGGCUUACCAAGGCAAUGAUGCAUAGCCGAGUUGAGAGACUGAUCGGCCACAUUGGGACUGAGACACGGCCCAAACUCCUACGGGAGGCAGCAGUAGGGAAUCUUCCACAAUGGACGAAAGUCUGAUGGAGCAACGCCGCGUGAGUGAAGAAGGGUUUCGGCUCGUAAAGCUCUGUUGGUAGUGAAGAAAGAUAGAGGUAGUAACUGGCCUUUAUUUGACGGUAAUUACUUAGAAAGUCACGGCUAACUACGUGCCAGCAGCCGCGGUAAUACGUAGGUGGCAAGCGUUGUCCGGAUUUAUUGGGCGUAAAGCGAGUGCAGGCGGUUCAAUAAGUCUGAUGUGAAAGCCUUCGGCUCAACCGGAGAAUUGCAUCAGAAACUGUCGAACUUGAGUGCAGAAGAGGAGAGUGGAACUCCAUGUGUAGCGGUGGAAUGCGUAGAUAUAUGGAAGAACACCAGUGGCGAAGGCGGCUCUCUGGUCUGCAACUGACGCUGAGGCUCGAAAGCAUGGGUAGCGAACAGGAUUAGAUACCCUGGUAGUCCAUGCCGUAAACGA